GAGGGCAUAGCUCAGUGGUAGAGCACAUGCUUAGCGUGCACGAGGUCCUGGGUUCUAUCCCCAGUCCCUCCA
rnacentral:tRNA from 1 species